rnacentral:rRNA from 1 species
GAUGAACGCUGGCGGUAUGCUUAACACAUGCAAGUCGAACGGACUCUUCGGAGUUAGUGGCGGACGGGUGCGUAACGCGUGAGAAUCUGGCUUUGGGCUCGGGACAACCACUGGAAACGGUGGCUAAUACCGGAUGUGCCGAGAGGUAAAAGAGAAAUUGCCUGAAGAAGAGCUCGCGUCUGAUUAGCUAGUUGGUGAGGUAAAGGCUCACCAAGGCAGCGAUCAGUAGCUGGUCUGAGAGGAUGACCAGCCACACUGGGACUGAGACACGGCCCAGACUCCUACGGGAGGCAGCAGUGGGGAAUUUUCCGCAAUGGGCGAAAGCCUGACGGAGCAAUACCGCGUGAGGGAAGAAGGCUCUUGGGUUGUAAACCUCUUUUCUUAGGGAAGAACAAAAUGACGGUACCUAAGGAAUCAGCAUCGGCUAACUCCGUG